AAACCGGCUGCCCUAUGGGGUUGCCAUACCUGAAACCAUGCCGAACUCAACUGUCACUGGUGCUCCACCUACGUACCUUUGGGAGACAAGAGAGGCGGUCGGUUU
rnacentral:rRNA from 1 species